rnacentral:miRNA from 7 species
CUCCCUGCCCAACUCUCCAGUCUGUCCAGGUCUUGUUGAAUGG